rnacentral:rRNA from 1 species
UGAACUUAAGCAUAUCAAUAAGCGGAGGAAAAGAAACCAACAGGGAUUGCCUCAGUAACGGCAAGUGAAGCGGCAACAGCUCAAAUUUGAAAGCUGGCUCCUUCGGGGUCCGCGUUGUAAUUUGCAGAGGAUGCGUCGCCGACAGCGCCGCCCCAAGUCCCUUGGAACAGGGCGUCAUAGAGGGUGAGAGUCCCGUAUCCGGGCGGACGCUGGAGGCAUAGGAUGCUCCUUCGACGAGUCGAGUUGUUUGGGAAUGCAGCUCUAAUUGGGAGGUAAAUUUCUUCUAAAGCUAAAUAUCGGCCGGAGACCGAUAGCGCACAAGUAGAGUGAUCGAAAGAUGAAAAGCACUUUGAAAAGAGAGUCAAACAGCACGUGAAAUUGUUGAAAGGGAAGCGCUUGCAAUCAGACUCGCCCGCGGGGGAUCAGCCGUCGUUCUCGACGGCGCACUCCCCCGUGGGCGGGCCAGCAUCGGUUCGGGCGGCCGGAGAAAGACGGCGGGAAUGUAGCUCCCCUCGGGGAGUGUUAUAGCCCGCCGUGGAAUACGGCCCGCCUGGACCGAGGUCCGCGCUUCGGCUAGGAUGCUGGCGUAAUGGUUGUAAGCGACCCGUCUUGAAACACGGACCAAGGAGUCUAACAUCUACGCGAGUGUUCGGGCGUCAAACCCGUGCGCGCAAUGAAAGUGAACGGAGGCGGGAGCCUCUGGCGCACCGCCGACCGAUCCGGAUGUCUUCGGAUGGAUUUGAGUAGGAGCGUAGCUGUUGGGACCCGAAAGAUGGUGAACUAUGCCUGAAUAGGGUGAAGCCAGAGGAAACUCUGGUGGAGGCUCGCAGCGGUUCUGACGUGCAAAUCGAUCGUCAAAUUUGGGUAUAGGGGCGAAAGACUAAUCGAACCAUCUAGUAGCUGGUUCCUGCCGAAG